rnacentral:lncRNA from 1 species
AGCUUGAGGGUAGUAGAGAAGACUACUCGGUCGAAGCAUUCAUUCUAGAAGAAUUGAAAAGGUACAAUUUUGAUUAAGUGUAUUACUUUAGAUAUUACAACCAAGUUCUUAUUUUGAUUUUUUUUUAAAAACACUCUAAUUUUUCCCUAAAUUUAUUUUUCGCUGCAUUUUUCAAACUUGAUUUUCAAUAGUAUUGGUACAUGUUGAUUAAUUUAUAUUUCCAGAUGACUAUGAUCUUAGAUUUUGAAGCAAAUAAAGAAGUACCAAUCAUCCUGGGAAGACCUUUCUUGGCAAUUGGUAGAACGUUAAUUGAUGUGCAGAAAGGCAAACUCACCAUGCGAGUUCAAGAUUAUCAAGUAACUGUUAAUGCAUUCAAAGCUAUGAGAUUUUUUAAUGCAAUUAAAGAAAGUUAUGCAGUGUACGAGAUGGAGUCAUUGGUAUCUAUAGAAUGGGAACUCAAUUCUGUAGAUGAUCUAUUGGAACGAGUCUUAGUGUUCGAUCUACCAAGUGAAGAUAGAAGGGUGGAAUAUUUGGCUUUGUUGGAAGUGAAUUUGAAGGGAUUCAUUCCACAAUUCCAAUUUGAAUGAUUGGAGUUAGCAACUUGUGAAUACACACAACCUAAGACAUCAAUUGAGGAGCCACCCAAAUUGGAGUUAAAGUUACUUUCAUCCCAUUUUAAAUAUGUUUAUUUAGGUAACUCUUCUACUUUGUCUGUCAUAAUUUCAACUGAGUUAAUUGAGAGUCAAGAAACAAAGUUUAUUGAUGUUCUGAAAAGGUUUAAGGCAAUCAAGUGAAUUAUAUAUGAUAUUCGAGGUAUUUCAAUGCUGGUUGUACCCUUAACUAGACUAUUAAAGAAGAAUGAUUUUUUUUUUGUGGACAGAUGAGUGUCAAAAGAGUUUUUAUAAGGUAAAAAUUGUCCUAAUAGAAGCCCCAGUUUUAUCCCAACCUAUCUUGGGGAUCGAGUUUGUGAUCUUCACUAAUGCAUCCUUUAAUGGACUUGGUUUCAUCUUCAUGCAAUAUGGGAAAGUCAUAUCUUAUGCGUCCCGUCAAUUUAAAUUGCAUGAAAGAAAUUUUCUAACUCAUAAUCUUGAAUUGGUCACGAUUGUGCUCACCUUGAAAAUUUGGAGACAUUAUUUGUAUAGAGAGAAGUGUCACAUAUUUUAGACCAUAAGAGCCUAAAGUAUUUGUUCCCUCAAAAAGAAUGAAUUUGGGCUAGUGACGUUGGAUAGAAUUGUCAAAAGAUUAUGAUUUGGCAAUUGAUUACCACCCAGGGAAAGCAAAUGUUUUAGCUGAUGCACUAAGUAAAAAUAUCAGCCUUGGCUUUGUUUCGUGCUCGAGUUUGCAUAGAGCAUGAUGGAUCCCUCCUAGAGGAAUAAAAGGUGCAACCUAUUUUUCUUCCACAAAUUUUUGAAUCGCAACUGAGAGAUGUUAAAUGUAGAUAACUGAGAAAGCGAAUAGAGUCUAAUAGCAUGGAAAAUUUUAGCCUCAAGAAGGUAAGCGAUCUACGUUUUAUGGGGAAACUAUAUGUUCCAGAAGAUGAUAGCCUUAGAUGAGAUUUUAAAAGAAGCACAUCAGGGACCUUUCUAUUUACACCCAGGAAGUGUUAAGAUGUAUCGUGAUCUAGAAACUCUAUAUUGGUGGCCCAGGAUGUAAAAAGAAAUAUCUGAGUUCGUGAUGCGAUGCUUAGCCUGCCAACGAGUCAAAGUGGAACACCAAGUUCCUACUAAGACGUUGUAUCCCUUGGAAAUUUCAAAGUGGAAGUGGGAUAAAAUUUCAAUGUAUUUCGUCUCAGGUCUACCACUCACUCCCUCGAAAAAGAAUUCAUUUUGGGUAAUUGUGGUUAGGAUAACAAAAUCAACUCAUUUUUUCAUUGUUAGCAUGAAUUACUCAUUGAAGAAGUUAGUUGAGCUUUACAUUACCGAGACAGUACGGUUACAUGGUAUUCCUUUAGCUUAUGUCCAAAUUUUGGAAACACUUACAAGAAUCCCUUAGGAGUAAACUCUAUUUCAACAUAGCUUUUCACCCACAGGCCUACAGUCAAUUUGAAAGGGUGAUACAAGUUUUGAAGAAUAUGCUCACAAGUUGUGUGACCGAUUUUGAGAUGAUUUCGGAUAAGUAUUUACCUUUAGCCUAGUUUGCGUAAAACAACAGUUACCACUCCAAUCUUGGUAUGUCUCCUUUAGAAGCUUUGUAUGGGUGAAAUUGUAAAUCCACAGUCUAUUGGGUAGAACUUAGUGAAAGUACACUUGUUGGCUCUAACCUGGUAUGCAACGUAGAAGAAAAGGUUCGAAUCAUCUGCAAAUCUUUUUAUUUUGGUUGUAUUUUCUCUUUUCUUAGCUCGGACCCUUGUUAAGUUCUCUUAUGUAUAAGAGGUUUGAAAUUAUCACCUCAUUGAACAUCAGAUCUUCAUCUAUAAAUAAAUACAUAUUCGUAUUUAUUGUUUUGGUUUGUAAUUACUAGUGUAUCAAUUUUAGUAAAUCCAAAAUCAUCUUCUCCCCUAAGUGCCAAGAUAGCACCAAAGCUAGGAUUGUAAACUAUUUGGGUAUUCGAGAAACUCAAGAUAUUGGAAAGUAUUUUGGUUUCCCGAUUAUUGCUGGUCACUCCUCUCGAAGAGAUUUCAACUUCACCAUGGAUAAGAUUCGAAGUAAACUGAAAACUUGGAAGGCCACCCUACUCUCUCCUGCAGGUAGAUUGGUCCUCAUUCAAUCUACAAUGGCUCCCUUUCUGAGUUACUUUAUGCAACUCAAGUCUCUACCUGUAGGUGUCCUCAAUCAUCUAGAUAAACUUAAUAGAAAAUUCUUACGAGGUGGAAAAAAAAGGUUAAGGAAAAUUUACUUGGUUUCUCGGACCUAAAAUAAAUUUCUCAUAUUCUUCAUGAUUGUACUCUCUCUCAUAACCUCUAGGAAUCCCUGAUUGUCAGGGUUCAGUGUAGACCACGUCCUCAUUCUUCAUGGAUGGACUGGCUCAUAGGCAAUUUGUUGUCAAAAUAACUGACAUCUUCUCUUAGCCUCCCUUGGUAUGUUGUGUUUGCAUUUGCCCUUUGGGAACUAUGCUUAUCUAGAAAUGUUUUUGUGCUUUGAAACCAACACCCCAUUCUUAGGUUUGUUAGUAGAGUCUUAUCUUCAAUUGGGGAAUUUGUUGGGUCCUCAUUUAUGGUAAGGCGUAUUCCCCUACCUACAUUUUCCACAGUCUCUUAGAAACCAAUUGGAAGGAACUUAUUUAAACUCAAUACUGAUGAUUCAGCUCUUGGAAACCCGAGGAAGGCGGGAGUGAGUGCCCUCAUUCGAGACCACUAGGGUAAUUGGGUACUACUCAAUACUGUUGAUGUCACUAUUAUUCAUCUUACGGCUAAUAAUAAUUCUACUAAAGUGAUUCUCUCACCUUUGGUUAAUAAGUGCAGGACGCUCCGGUAGUCUUUGACUACUAGACCGAUACUACAUGUGUUUCGAGAAGGAAACAAAUGUGUCAACACUCUAGCUCAUUUAGGGAGUAGCUUCCAUCUUACUUCCCCUUCAAAUGGUGUUUCAAAUUCAAUGUUGUUUAAUGUUUGUAGUAAUCCUCCUAAAUGUUUGGAAAAUUUAUAAUUGGCGAUAAGCACGGGUGUGUCAUUUAUUAAGCUGGACUCUUUUUACUUUUUAUGAAUCUAGUUCAGUUUUGAAAAAAAAUGCUAUAAUUUUGAGUGGAGAAACAUUAUUUUUAUAUUACAAUAAUAAGAUAUUUAUAUUUGUUAAGAGACACAGUUACACAAAUGUAAAACUAAAGUUAUUUUAUAGCCUUUCACAUAUUUUUAUAUGAUUAAUGUUUUAAUGAUCUAACUGUUAAAUUUAUCAAUAUAAUUGUACUUAUCAUGCACAUAAAUUUUCAAACCAAUCCAAUAUCUCUAUUAAAUGAUUAAAUUUUUUAUAUAAAAUAAAUAGUUAGAAAAUUUUAAUUUAGAUCAAAUUUGAAAUGUUUGAUGUAUAAUGUUUAAAAUGUUAAAAUAUUACAAAAAAUAUAUUAAAAGAUAUAAAAUAAGUUUAAUUUUAUGCUGAUGUAAAUGGAUUCGUCCCCUUUCUUUUUACUUAACUAAAUUAAUAAUUUAGGUAUAAUUUACCAAAACCUCACACCAAUUUAUGAGAAAAAACCAAACUUCAUUUUGGGGGUUAAAACUUUAAAGUUGUCCCUAGUCAUCUUUAGCCUCUUUUCUUAGAUCGUCUAUAAUCGUUUUUGGUUGAUUGUCUAUUGACUUUUUUCCGGUGCACCAUUUGUGGCCUUUUUCAUUAGGUUGGUUGUUGCCGUUUCUCUCGGCCUUCUUUGGCUUGAUUUCACUCCAUUAUUUUUAGCUUUGUAACCGUUAAUAGUUUUUUUAAUUAAAAAGAAAACUCAUUUUUUUUCUAUUUUGUUUCACAUUUCAUUGUCUCGUUUAGACUAAUUGUUGAAAAUUACACAUUUUUAGAAUUUAUAUUAUAUUGUAAAAAAGUACAGAUAAAAUAAUGAACAAAAAAUGUAAAAAAGAAUAACAAACUGUUUUAUUCCACUGUUAUAGAUGUACACCAGCCCAAUCUCUACAACCGUCGAUCUCAGAAAUGCUACCACGUAUCAACCAUUGAAAUAAUCAACCCAUUCAGACCCAAAUUAAUAGAAUUAUAAUAAACGACAAUGCAGAACAAAUAAAUUAAAACAAAAACAAGUGAAAAAAAAAUCCCUAAGUCAAAUGAACAAGAUCCUCGAGAAUCGUGAUCCAAAAGCCUGUGAAUAGCCCAGGAAAGCAAGAACUCGCUUUCUUAAGCCAGGAGGGCGGCGAAGAAAGUAGCAGCGAGAGCGGUUACACCAAAGAAGACACCGUUGGUGGAGGCAGCGGAGGGAGGAGGACCUUGGUCAGCUGUCGGCUCGGAGGCUGGAGUAGAUGCGCCUUCUGGGGUGGGAGCAGGAGAGGAGGAGAUUGAAGGAGAAGGUGAAGAAGUUGUUGGUGAAGGCGAUGGGGAAGUGGUGGGUGAUGGGGUAGGAACAGUUGAAGGAGCUGGGGAUGGCGUUUGUGACGGUGUUGGGGAAGGUGUUGGAGUCGCCGCCGGCGGUGGUGAGGAGGUUGGAGGAGCUGAAGGUGAAGCUGUUGGGGGAGAAGUUGGAGCUUGAGCCAUGCAAGAGGUGGCCAAAAGACCCAAGAUCAUUAAAACCUUGAACAUUGUAGAACUCAUCUUCCCAAAAGAA